rnacentral:lncRNA from 1 species
CAGAUAUCAAGAAGUGGUGAUGUGCUUCCUGUGUGGUAGGAAAUUGGAAUAAGUCAUUUCUGGUCCUUCUCCUGUGCCAUACUUAACAUGAUGCUAAGUGGAGCAUUGAUUUCUCAGGCUUACCUUUGAGAGAAUUAGAGAUAAAUUGGGGGAAAGUCCUGAGUGUUCAUUGGAAGGACUGAUGUUGAAGCUGAGACGCCAAUACUUUGGCCACCUGAUGUGAAGGAAAAGCUGACUCAUUUAAAAAGAUUCUGAUGCUGGGAAAGAUUGAAGGCAGGAGGAGAAGGGGAUGACAGAGGAUGAGAUGGUUGGAUGGCAUCACUGACUCAAUGGACAUGAGUUUGAGUAAACUCCAGGAGUUGGUGAUGGACAGGGAAGCCUAGCAUGCUGCAGUCUACUGGGUCACAAAGAAUCAGACACUACUGAGGGACUGAACUGAACUGAACUGAAGGGAAGCAAUAUAGGAUUACCCAAAGAUUGUUAAACAAGACCCAAUGUGGGGUAGAAAACCAAGGAAACGUUACAAGGAGAAACCAAGAAAGGAAGAGAGGCACGGAGUCAAAAGUGCAAAAAUUCCAUCGCUGUGGUCUCUCAGACAAAAGUAACAUCUCUACAAUUUCUAUCUUCGGCCUAAAUAAGGAAUAAAAUUUGGAACAGCUGACCCCUGCGCUAGACUCCUCUGGGCAUCAACAAUUUAAAACUAGAACCUCAGUCAUGUCCAGUAGUCAGGAACUGAAUAUUGAAGAGUAGCAAAGAUCAUUGUGCUUAUUGAUACCUGAAAGGCCUGAUUAUGGAAAGAGAGUCU